CCACACCCAGGUGUUAAGGAAAAAGUGC
rnacentral:piRNA from 2 species